rnacentral:lncRNA from 1 species
CCGCGGCCCUGGCGCGCGUGACGCAGAAGCGUACGCUAGUACGUGACGUCGCAAGGACGUACGCUCUGGAGCUCACAAGGGAAGAUGGCGGCUGUACCUUUGGAGGAGAGCGACUGAAAAGGGAGGAGGAAGGAGGUCAGGCAGGGAAACACUGCCAACUGUGAAGACGAACGCUUCGCUCGACAUUAGGAGGUCUGCUCAACGCCAGCGGAUUACUACUGUCUUGCCUUGAGAUCCUUAUUGCUUUAGAAAAUGGUACACACAUUGUCCACUGAAAUGGAAAAAAUAAUUUCUUAAAAGAAAGCUACAUUCUGGCUUCUGUGAACGAAGUUGAGUGACACGGUAA